rnacentral:rRNA from 1 species
GACGAACGCUGGCGGCGUGCUUAACACAUGCAAGUCGAACGGGAACCUUUAUUUCGGUAAAGGUGAGAGUGGCAAACGGGUGAGUAACACGUAGGCAACCUGCCGACAGGAUGGGGACAACAUUCCGAAAGGAAUGCUAAUACCGAAUGGAGUCCGAGGAUGGCAUCAUCCCCGGAUCAAAGAUGGCCUCUUAACAAUGCUAUCGCCUGUCGAUGGGCCUGCGUCUGAUUAGCCAGUUGGCGGGGUAACGGCCCACCAAAGCGACGAUCAGUAGCCGGUCUGAGAGGAUGAACGGCCACAUUGGGACUGAGACACGGCCCAGACUCCUACGGGAGGCAGCAGUGGGGAAUCUUCCACAAUGGGCGAAAGCCUGAUGGAGCAACGCCGCGUGAGUGAAGAAGGUCUUCGGAUCGUAAAGCUCUGUUGCACGGGACGAAAACGGGGUUUGAGAAUAUUGAACCUGGGGACG